rnacentral:ncRNA from 1 species
ACAGGUAAACGCCACACUCCGGGUAACCGGAGGCCGGAAAGCCACGGAUCCUACCUCUCGUCAAAAGGAACGCCGGGUUGCCCUG